rnacentral:rRNA from 1 species
UACGUAGGGUGCGAGCGUUGUCCGGAAUUAUUGGGCGUAAAGGGCUCGUAGGCGGUCUGUCGCGUCGGUAGUGAAAACUCAGGGCUUAACCCUGAGCCUGCUUCCGAUACGGGCAGACUAGAGGUAUGCAGGGGAGAACGGAAUUCCUGGUGUAGCGGUGAAAUGCGCAGAUAUCAGGAGGAACACCGGUGGCGAAGGCGGUUCUCUGGGCAUUACCUGACGCUGAGGAGCGAAAGCGUGGGGAGCGAACAGG